rnacentral:rRNA from 1 species
UACGGAGGGGGCUAGCGUUGUUCGGAAUUACUGGGCGUAAAGCGCGCGUAGGCGGACCUGCAAGUCGGGGGUGAAAGCCCGAGGCUCAACCUCGGAACUGCCUUCGAUACUGCGGGUCUCGAGUCCGGGAGAGGGAUGCAGAAUUCCAGGUGUAGCGGUGAAAUGCGUAGAUAUCUGGAGGAAUACCGGUGGCGAAGGCGGCAUCCUGGACCGACAUUGACGCUGAGGAGCGAAAGCCAGGGGAGCAAACGGG